UUAUUAUAAUGAGCAAUGUGAAGCAGGCAGUUCGAGAGCUGGGUGACUUGGAGAUUGGAUAUAUCCAUAAUGAGCAUCAUAUGAAACCAAACAAUCAACGCAGUUCAGGUGGUUCAAAAGUGAGGGUGAGAGAGGGGAUGUCAGCAACAUGGCGGAAUAUGAAGCUCCUGACUCUUUCCACCCACGGACACAUGAAGUACACGCCUAUUUACAGACCAUUCCCUCUGAAAGUGAGAAACUAGUUGAGAGACUGCUGAUCACCAGGCAACGGAGAAAACAUCUGUCUUAAACAGUACGUGUGCACUCAAGCUUUAC